AUUGAACGCUGGCGGCAGGCUUAACACACGCAAGUCGAGCGAGCGGCGGACGGGUGAGUAAUGUCUGGGAAACUGCCUGAUGGAGGGGGAUAACUACUGGAAACGGUAGCUAAUACCGCAUACCAUCAGAUGUGCCCAGAUGGGAUUAGCUAGUAGGUGGGGUAAUGGCUCACCUAGGCGACGAUCCCUAGCUGGUCUGAGAGGAUGACCGGCCAAACUGGAACUGAGACACGGUCCAGACCCCUACGGGAGGCAGCAGUGGGGAAUAUUGCAAAAGGGGCGAAGGCCGGAUGCGCCCAUGCCGGGUGUUUGAAGAAGGCCUUCGGGUUGUAAAGCACUUUCAGCGAGAAGACGUUACUCGCAGAAGAAGCACGGGCUAACUCCGUGCCAGCCGCCGCGGUAAUA
rnacentral:rRNA from 1 species